CUCGGACGUCUCCAUUUCAUUGUUUCUAAUUUUUUUGGUCACGUCCGAUCCCAGAGGACGAAGAGGGCGGUCGGGCGGGAGAAGCCCUCGCCUCCAUUGUGCCCACGCCGCCCUCGCCGUCGUCCUCCCCGAGCCCUCGCCUUCGCCGUCUUCUCCUCGCUGUCUCCCUUCCGUCGAGAAGGAUGGGGCACUUAGAAGGUCCAUCAGAAUGUUCAUUUUUGGUGCGAUGAUGAAACAUGGUAUACGGUAAUCACGGACAAUCCAGGCGUAGGUUCUUCAGAAAAAAAGGAAAAAAGAUCAAGAAGAGGAUGCAAACUUUUAUCUUUUUAGUCUAGUAAAUUUCAGUUCAAAUCGGAUUGGGUUCCUCUCUUAAUGAAAGGAUAUAAAUUGUAAAAUGAUAAAAUAUUUUUUUAAAAAAAUAGAUUUGGAUGAAAGCUAAAUCUUGACUCCAGCAUCAACAUUGUCUUUAAUCAACCAAAUUCUUCUAAGAUUAGAAACUAUGGCUUCCCGGAGAUUUAUACUCAAUUGAGUUUUGAAUCUGGUGAACUUUGUUCCCGAGGCUUGUCCACGCCUACUCAAAAUGGCAAGAUUAGUCUAAUAAUAUCGAAAAUCUAAUACUUACAAACAAUAGCAAGAACUAUAUGUUUUCCUUUUGGGAGUGGCAAUUUAAUAAAAGAAAUCCCAAAUGUGAAAAUUAUGGUGGAAGAUAUUGUUGCUGAAGAUAACAUAGUAGGAAUAGCCAAAUUGGACCAUAUUUUUUGCAUUAUGAAAGGUUUAGCAUUGCAAUUUAUUUUCAUCUUGUUUGACAAAUGUGCCUUGGUAUCCAGGGGUGUUUGUCACCCAUUGAUUGUACGUAGUCUAUGUUUCAAAAGCACUAGGCAGCCUUCGCAUGGUCUUACAGGGGAGAAAGAACCACACAUUCAUCCUUGAAAUGGUGAUUCAGUUUGAUCCUUAUGUGAAGAACUUGAUGACGGGCAUGUAUUCAGGCUUGGGUAGUAUAAAGAUUUCGCAGUCAUUUAAUGGAAUACCAAAUAGGGACAUGCUUUCCUUGAUUGUUGUGAUAGCUGCUUAUGUUAAAUGGAACCUGGAGUUGGAAAAAUAAAUUCAGAUCUUAUUUCUAGGUGCUCCAUGAAGCAUGUUUUGUCAUUUUGACAUUUUCAGCCAUCACACUUAUUGAAGAGCUUUUUGGCGGUACUCACACCUCAAGCCACGUCUUAUUGGAGCAGGCCAUUACAGCUGACACAAACAUCUGGCUUUGAGAUCAGGUUCUAGUAAUCAUGCCAGAAUUUGGAUUACCUUAACCGGAUUGACGCAACUAUUUCGUCUAAUGAGGACGUUACAUGUUUGGUAGCUUAUAAUCAUAAAUUCUUCUGCCUUUGUUUAUAAAUGAAUGGUGCAAGCAGUGUGGCCCGUGCAAAUAAGGUCGAUUGAUCCAGCUUUACGGUCCUACGGACGAGUCUUUUUGGAAAACCAGAGCCCCACUUUCUCAGCAAGAUAUUGGUACUUCCAUAAUCAUAAACCUUUUUGUUGAAGGUGUGUUCAGUAUAUUUUAAGUUGCAAGGCUGCAUCCUUUCAUACAUCCGCAGGAGCAGCAUUAUUUUUCCUAUACUCUCAAGCCAUUAUUUUUACAUAAUAACAAAAGGGAAAAAAACAAAACCAGAAUAAAUUAGCAGCUGAUCUUGACGACUCCUUUAUAGUUUCAUAUAUAUAUAGAGAGAGAGUGCUCAUCUUUGAUGCAUCAAAUUUUGUUGCCUCAUAUAUAUAAAUAUAUGUAUACAUGGGCUGAUUUUGAAGAGCACAACAUUGUCACAAUUGAAUAAAAAGUGAUUCCUCAUCUCACACAGCUGAUCCGGCUAUUGCUUUUGUAAGAUAUUAAUUUAAUCUUUUGCGGCGAACAGCACCUGAACGGUUUUCCUACAAACAUGCAGUAGUUCUUUCAGUUCCAUAAAGCUCAUAGCCUGGGGUCAGUUGAAGUCGGAUACAUCCUGCCUUGCCUUUCAAUUGUUCAGCAUUUAACUGGACUGAGUCCAUUAUGGGUUUCACCAUCUAUGACAAACGUGUCACAAUUGCCCUUGAGUACUGAGAUGAAAUGGAAUUUGAUGAGUGUGACAAUUUCAAUGGCCUCACAUUUAUGGACAGAACCGACCGUGACUGACUGCUGCUGCCGCAAGGCUAAGAAUUGCUGAUUUUGCAUAUAGAAGGAACCAUGAUUCUGCAUAUCUAUGCCCCUUCCAGUGCAUGUUAUCUGGAUCAAGAUUACAGUGUAUAACACCUUUAUAUAUAUACAUAUAUAUACAUAUAUAUAUAUAUGUAUAUAUAUA